rnacentral:rRNA from 1 species
AGUAACACGUGGAUAACCUACCUAUAAGACUGGGAUAACUUCGGGAAACCGGAGCUAAUACCGGAUAAUAUUUUGAGCCGCAUGGUUCAAAAGUGAAAGACGGUCUUGCUGUCACUUAUAGAUGGAUCCGCGCUGCAUUAGCUAGUUGGUAAGGUAACGGCUUACCAAGGCAACGAUGCAUAGCCGACCUGAGAGGGUGAUCGGCCACACUGGAACUGAGACACGGUCCAGACUCCUACGGGAGGCAGCAGGC